rnacentral:lncRNA from 10 species
AGGGAGAAGGAGACAGAGACAGAGCACCCAGGAACGCCUGUUUUGCCAAGAUGAAAUACAUUUGAACACCAGGAAGUUCAAUUCUGACUGAAACUAUAAACCCAUGAAUUAAAAAUGAGUCCAGAAUUUGGGAAGAAACAAAGGCUCCACUCCAGCCAGUUUUAGAAGCAGCUUCGAUGAAUACAGAAAAGCAGCUGGCAACUCAGCCACAGCACCAGGGAAGAGACGGCCGUGAGUGCACCAUCAGCUACAGCUAACAAAGCCUGCAAGCUCUGUUAUUCUUGGGCCUCCUAAGAGUUGCUCCAGCCAGGAUAGAGACUCUGCCCUGCUUUAGCUCAGAAAUAUCCACUCUCGUGAUGUUUUCCUGAGGUUGUCCUGUCAUAGGCCAACACUUCCUGUCUCUUCUGCCAUCUGGCCCAAAUAGCCAGCCACUGGACUGAAUAUUGGGUGUGCAUUUGGGAUGAUGUUUAUUUAUUGGGCACUUUCUUUAGAGAAAGAUCACAUUUAGUUCACAAUAAGGCCGAUAAAACAUGCAGUUUGUGUAAAGUGAAAAGUGUGUUAACUAGGGGCCUACAGGUCAGUAAAAGGCAACAGGUAAAACAGGGUUUUCUUGCCGCCAUCUCAACAUUUACUCACUGAUAUUAUAUCAGCUCUAUGUCAUUGUAUGCAUGUAUUAUUAUUUGUAUAUGUAUCGUAUGAUUUCAGAAGCAUCUUAAUUAGAAAUAUUUUAUAUCAUAAAUUAGAUAUCUAGAAUAGUUAGAGCGUUAUUGCAAGUUAGGAUGUGAAACGUUACUGUCCCUUGGGAUCUCUAGACUGUGUGGCCUGAAGAGUCACUUCAGCAGAAUUAAGAGUCCUGUGAAUUACCUCCAUAUCCCAAUUACAUUAUCUGGGGACAAGGAGCAGGGCUGGGGAAUAUUAGAGGUCAAGUUUUUGUUCUUUUUUUUUUUUUUUUUGCUAACCAGUAAGGAACAUUCAGUAAAAAUGUUCCUUAAUCUCACCACUCAUAGGUAGCCACUGUUAACACUGGGAUGUAUAUUCUUUGAGUUAAUUGUGUGUUUGUGUGCACAUGAGCACACACAAAGAAUUUGAUGAGAUUAUACUAUUUAUUCUGUUUUGUAGCUUCUCUUUUUCAUUUAGCAAUAUAUUGUAAACUUUUUCCCAGGUCAAUAAACUGUUGCCUCAUAAGCUUUAAUGCUUGCAGAAUAUUUAAUUGUAGAAUUGUACUACAAUUAUCUUAAUAUCUCAGAGUAUUUUGAAAUACGAAUCUUGAAAACACUGCUUCAGAUAUAUUUUUAAAUACUGGCCUUAGUUUUUAAAAUAUUUUCUAUGUUUUAGGACAUGUUAGAAAAAUAGAUUAAGCAUAGCUUCUACAUCUUGUGGUUGCUUGCCUUUUAGACCAAAACAUAGAACAUGCUUUGAGAGCCAUGGAGACUAUCCAUCUUCCCUG